rnacentral:rRNA from 1 species
AGGGUUUGAUCCUGGCUCAGGAUGAACGCUGGCGGCGUGGAUAAGGCAUGCAAGUCGAAAGCCGUAUUUAUACGGCUUGGCAAACGGGUUAGUAAUACGUAGGAACUUGCCCCGAAGUUGGGAAUAACCCGCCGAAAGGCGGAGUAAUACCCGAUAGUCCCGCAAGGGUAAAGUCUUUGCUUCGGCAAAGUUCGCUUUGGGAUAGGCCUGCGUCCUAUCAGCUUGUUGGUGAGGUAAUGGCUCACCAAGGCUAUGACGGGUAGGGGAAGUGAGAGCUUGAUCCCCAACAGAGGAACUGCGACACGGUCCUCACACCUACGGGUGGCAGCAGUCGAGAAUCUUCGACAAUGGGCGAAAGCCUGAUCGAGCGACGCCGCGUGUCCGAAGAAGCGCUUCGGCGUGUAAAGGACUUUUCUGUUUGAGAAAAUUGCCUUUUGGCAAUUGAUGUUAGGACAGGAAUAAGGGGCCGCUAAACUCGUGCCAGCAGCGGCGGUAAUACGAGUGCCCCAAGCGUUAUCCGGAAUCACUGGGCGUAAAGCGUGAGUAGGCGGUUUUAAUAGUGAAUGGUUAAAUCCCGGAGCUCAACUCCGGAACCGCCGUUCAAACGUUAAGACUAGAGCAAGCGAGAGGCUGAUGGAACUCAGGGAGUAGGGGUGAUAUCCGUUGAUACCUUGAGGAACGCCAAAGGCGAAGGCAAUCAGCUGGCGCUUAGCUGACGCUGAGUCACGAAGGCGUGGGGAGAGAAGAGGAUUAGAUACCCUCGUAUUCCACGCUGUAAACGAUGCCAACUAGCCGUUCGGAGUAUCGACCCUCUGAGUGGCGAAGCUAACGCGUUAAGUUGGCCGCCUGGGAAGUACGGCCGCAAGGCUAAAACUCAAAGGAAUAGACGGGAAGCUGCACAAGCGGUGGACCAUGUGGUUUAAUUCGACGAUAAGCGAAGAACCUUACCAGGGCUAGACACCCUGAUGAAAGCUCACAGAACUGUGAGCCCUCUUCAAGGACAUCAGGGUCAGGUGGUGCACGGUUGUCGUCAGUUUGAGUCGUGAGAUGCUCCCUUAAGUGGGGUAUCAAACGCAACCCUUGCCCUAUGUUAUACGUGUCAUAGGGGACUGCCGUAUGAUAUACGGAGGAAGGAGAGGAUGACGCCAAAUCCGCGUGUCCCUUUGAUGCCCUGGGCUACACACGUGGUACAAUGGUCAGGACAAUGGGUCGCUAAGCCGCAAGGCGGAGCUAAUCCCAUCAAACUUGGCCUCAGUUCGGAUUGAGGGCUGCAACUCGCCCUCAUGAAGUCGGAAUCGCUAGUAAUCGCGGAUCAGCCAUGCCGCGGUGAAUACGUUCCCAGCUUUUGUACUCACCGCCCGUCACACUAGGGAAGCCGGUAGCCCUCGAAGUCCUGUUUGAACAGGCCUAAAGGGAGAUCGGUAACCAGAGUGAAGUCGUAACAAGGUAGCC